GAACGCUGGCGGCGUGCCUAAUACAUGCAAGUCGAGCGAGCUUGCCUAGAUGAAUUUGGUGCUUGCACCAAAUGAAACUAGAUACAAGCGAGCGGCGGACGGGUGAGUAACACGUGGGUAACCUGCCCAAGAGACUGGGAUAACACCUGGAAACAGAUGCUAAUACCGGAUAACAACACUAGACGCAUGUCUAGAGUUUAAAAGAUGGUUCUGCUAUCACUCAUGGAUGGACCUGCGGUGCAUUAGCUAGUUGGUAAGGUAACGGCUUACCAAGGCAAUGAUGCAUAGCCGAGUUGAGAGACUGAUCGGCCACAUUGGGACUGAGACACGGCCCAAACUCCUACGGGAGGCAGCAGUAGGGAAUCUUCCACAAUGGACGCAAGUCUGAUGGAGCAACGCCGCGUGAGUGAAGAAGGGUUUCGGCUCGUAAAGCUCUGUUGGUAGUGAAGAAAGAUAGAGGUAGUAACUGGCCUUUAUUUGACGGUAAUUACUUAGAAAGUCACGGCUAACUACGUGCCAGCAGCCGCGGUAAUACGUAGGUGGCAAGCGUUGUCCGGAUUUAUUGGGCGUAAAGCGAGUGCAGGCGGUUCAAUAAGUCUGAUGUGAAAGCCUUCGGCUCAACCGGAGAAUUGCAUCAGAAACUGUUGAACUUGAGUGCAGAAGAGGAGAGUGGAACUCCAUGUGUAGCGGUGGAAUGCGUAGAUAUAUGGAAGAACACC
rnacentral:rRNA from 1 species